rnacentral:rRNA from 1 species
UUCGCAAUGCCCGAAAGGGUGAACGAGCGACGCCGCGUGCGGGAUGAAGGUCUUCGGAUUGUAAACCGCUUUUAUAUGGGAACAAAUUAUUGAGUGUACCAUAUGAAUAAGAGGUUACUAACUCUGUGCCAGCAGUAGCGGUAAUACAGAGACCUCAAGCGUUAUCCGGAUUUAUUGGGCGUAAAGCGCGUGUAGGCGGAUGGGAACGUCGGAUACUGAAAGCCCCCGGCUCAACCGGGGAAGUGGUUCCGAAACGACCUGUCUGGAGGGACGUAGGGGGAUCUGGAACUUCCGGUGGAGCGGUGAAAUGCGUUGAGAUCGGAAGGAACGCCCGUGGCGAAAGCGAGGUCCUGGACGUCUGCUGACGCUGAGACGCGAAAGCUAGGGGAGCAAACGGGAUUAGAUACCCCGGUAGUCCUAGCCGUAAACGAUGGGCACUAAGUAGAGGGGUUUU